rnacentral:rRNA from 1 species
GUGCCAGCCGCCGCGGUAAGACAGAGGGUGCAAACGUUGCUCGGAAUUACUGGGCGUAAAGCGCGUGUAGGCGGACCACCAAGUCAGGCGUGAAAUCCCUGGGCUCAACCCAGGAACUGCACCUGAAACUGGCGGUCUUGAGUGGUGGAGAGGGAAGCAGAAUUCCUGGUGUAGAGGUGAAAUUCGUAGAUAUCAGGAGGAACACCGGUGGCGAAGGCGGCUUCCUGGACACUAACUGACGCUGAGACGCGAAAGCGUGGGGAGCAAACAGGAUUAGAAACCCUCGUAGUCC